AACGAACGCUGGCGGCAUGCCUAACACAUGCAAGUCGAACGAGACCUCCGGGCUUUGUGGCGCUCGUGGGCUGACCGCGUGGGAACCUGCCCUUAGGUACCGUAUAAUUGCCUGUGAGGUAUGCUAAUGCCAGUUAAUCUCUUCCGACCAAAGAUGUCUUGCCUUUGGGUGGGCGCGGGUUGGAUUGGUUGGUUGGUAGGGUAAUAGCCGGUCAUGGCGACGAUGCAGAGCUGGUGUGGGAGGAUGACAAACCACACUGGAGAUGCGACACGGCCCAGACUCCUACGGAAGGCAGCAGAAGAGAAUAUUGGGCGAGGGGGGAUAACCUGAUCCAGCCAUGCCGCGUGAGUGAUGAAGGCCUUAGUGUUGUAAUGCUCUUUUACCCGAGGUGAUAAUGACAGUACCGGGAGAAUAAGCUCCGGCUAACUACGUG
rnacentral:rRNA from 1 species